AACGAACGCUGGCGGCAUGCCUAACACAUGCAAGUCGAACGAGACCUUCGGGUCUAGUGGCGCACGGGUGCGUAACGCGUGGGAACCUGCCCUUAGGUUCGGAAUAACUCCCCGAAAGGGGUGCUAAUACCGGAUAAUUUCUUCGGACCAAAGAUUUAUCGCCUUUGGAUGGGCCCGCGUUGGAUUAGCUAGUUGGUAGGGUAAAAGCCUACCAAGGCGACGAUCCAUAGCUGGUCUGAGAGGAUGAUCAGCCACACUGGGACUGAGACACGGUCCAGACUCCUACGGGAGGCAGCAGUGGGGAAUAUUGGACAAUGGGCGAAAGCCUGAUCCAGCAAUGCCGCGUGAGUGAUGAAGGCCUUAGGGUUGUAAAGCUCUUUUACCCGGGAUGAUAAUGACAGUACCGGGAGAAUAAGCGCCGGCUAACUCCGUG
rnacentral:rRNA from 1 species